AGAUAAUAAAUGUUUCGUCUUGGGUUCCAAGGAGCUGGCUGCAUCCAAACUGCAAUGAACCUAUACCAUAGAACACAGAACACAAACAUUGAACCUGCUGAGCCUGUAUGAAGCUACUAUCCCAGGACUGUGAAAAGUAGACUAGUUGAGGAAGAAUUCAAGUCGACACUGAACUAGUGGUAGAGCUCUCAUCAUACAGAUCGUUGGAAAGUAGCAUCCCGACAGUUCUGAGAGAAAAAAA
rnacentral:lncRNA from 1 species